rnacentral:lncRNA from 1 species
UAUAAAUCAAAUAUAUUAAAUAAUAUUUUAUUGUAAAUUAGUAUUUGGAUAAUAUAUUACCUAAAGUCUAAAGUACGUAUAUUUUAAAACAACAUAAUAGCUUCUUCAAAAAGAGAAAAAGAAUGCAAGCCCAUUUUCUAAGUGUUCAAAAUCAAACAACACUAAAAGAACCAGUCAGAAUGAGCUGGCCCUUCUCUAAAAGCCAUGGAACAUAAAUUACUUUAACAUAUUGUGCAAAGGCAUUGUCCUGCACUAGCUCCCAUAGUCUACCUUAGAGAGAAGCUUCUGCUCAGUCAUACAUUACAGAAGAAGAAGUGUUCCAUAGCUGCUGGUUGUUAGCAGUUUAUUGUGCACUGAGAAGAACGCUGGGAGCGGCUCGGACAGUCCCUCAGCAGUCCCGGCGAAGUUACGGGAAGGGCCUCUGGGAUAGCUGUUUACUGCGCACAGGAUGAAUAAAUCAAGAUAAGAAAGCCAAGGCCCAGAGAAAUUAAGUGAUUUCUCUAGGAUUCACAGGCAGAAUUUGGGAAGGCUUCCCUGAGGAAGUGAUCUUUGACCUGAAAUCUAAAGAGUGAAUGAAGUGGACAAAAAGAGGUGGACAGAGGAAGAGCAAACCAGGCAGAAAGAAU